rnacentral:rRNA from 1 species
AGCUCCAAUAGCGUAUAUUAAAGUUGUUGCAGUUAAAAAGCUCGUAGUUGGAUUUCGGAAUGGGCCAGUUGGUCCGCCUCACGGUGUGUUACUGGCUGGUCUGUUCUUCUUCGCAAAGACUGCGUGGGCUCUUCACUGAGUGUACGUAGGAUUUACGACGUUUACUUUGAAAAAAUUAGAGUGUUCAAAGCAGGCAUACCGCUUGAAUACAUGAGCAUGGAAUAAUGGAAUAGGACUUUGGUCUUAUUUUGUUGGUUUCUGAGACCGAAGUAAUGAUUAAGAGGGACAGUUGGGGGCAUUCGUAUUUCGUUGUCAGAGGUGAAAUUCUUGGAUUUACGAAAGACGAACAAUUGCGAAAGCAUUUGCCAAGAAUGUUGUCA